UGCCUUAGUAACGGCGAGUGAAGCGGCAACAGCUCAGAUUUGAAAUCUGGCUCCUUCGGAGCCCGAGUUGUAAUCUGCAGGGGAUGCUUCCGCGGCGGACCCGGCCUAAGUUCCUUGGAACAGGACGUCAUAGAGGGUGAGAAUCCCGUAUGCGGCCGGUGGACGUCUCUUCGGUGAAGCUCCUCCGACGAGUCGAGUUGUUUGGGAAUGCAGCUCUAAAUGGGAGGUAAAUUUCUUCUAAGGCUAAAUACCGGCCAGAGACCGAUAGCGCACAAGUAGAGUGAUCGAAAGAUGAAAAGCACUUUGGAAAGAGAGUUAAAGAGUACGUGAAAUUGUUGAAAGGGAAGCGCUUGCAACCAGACUUGGCCGUAGUUGUUCAACCGUCUUCGUGGGCGGCUCACUCUUCUGCGGCCAGGCCAGCAUCGGUUCGGGCGGCCGGAAAAAGGUCCCGGGAACGUAGCUCCCCUCGGGGAGUGUUAUAGCCUAGGACGAAAUACGGCCUGCUCGGACCGAGGACCGCGCUUCGGCUAGGAUGCUGGCGUAAUGGUUGUAAGCGGCCCGUCUUGAAACACGGACCAAGGAGUCUAACAUCUAUGCGAGUGUUCGGGUGUCAAACCC
rnacentral:rRNA from 1 species